CUGCAGGCAGACGACAGCAGCCUUAGAGCUAUUAAUUUCUGAAAAAGCCAAUCGUUGCUUAUGGGGGAUAUUAAGGUGGUUAACAUUCAGCGACAUAAUAUUAAAGGAGCUAGCAAAAACAAGUUAUUUUAGAGAUCGCCCUGAGCCACCCCAUAGAUAAUAGGUAUACCCCGAUCUUGCAUGAAAGAUACAACCGAGCCAUGGGGGGCAUGGGUAUUAGUUAAGCGACAUAACAACAUGCAGAAAGAGCACCCAAGUUCCCCAUGGCUAGAGAUCACAGCAUUAAGCACUAAAAUAAG